rfam:Enterocytozoon bieneusi H348 ctg01_1235, whole genome shotgun sequence.
CUCAGAUUGCGACCUACAGCCAGGGAACGGGCUUGGGACAUGCAGCGGGGAAAGAAGACCCUGUUGAGCUUGACUCUAGCCAAGCACAGGCCUCUGUGACUAUAUCGUAGCGAGGUGGGAGAAAUGUGUGAGACCACUGACAUAGUCGGCGGGGGCACUCGCAAAGCUUGGUGGGGAGUUUGGCUGGGGCGGCACGACUACUAAAACAUAACGUAGACGUCCAAAGGUAAGCUCCGAGGGGAUGGAAACCACUCCGAGAGUAUAAGGGCAAAAGCUUGCUUUAGUUAUUAAUGUAAAUUAAUAAUACUGGAAACAGGGGCCUAGAGAUCCUCUAUGAAACUAAGCAUAGAGGUGACGGAAAAGUUACCACAGGGAUAACUGGCUUGUGGCGGCCGAGCGUCCAUAGCGACGCCGCUUUUUGAUUCUUCGAUGUCGGCUCUUCCGAGCAUGGUGGAGUAUCAGCCACCAAGUGUGUGAUUGUUCACCAACUAACAGGGAACGUGAGCUGGGUUUAGACCGUCGCGAGACAGGUUAGUUUUACCCUACUGCAUCGCGUCCGAGAGUAGGUCGGGGCAGUACGAGAGGAAGUGCCGAUCAGAACCGCUGGUGAUACUUUCGUCUGUUAAGGCGCGAAGUGUAGCUACGUUCUUCUUAUAAUAGCUGAAAGCCUCUAAGCUAGAAUGAGUACUUAAGGACGCAAAGAUAUGAAGACUACAUAUGUAAGGAUGAGGGUUGUACGAUAUAAGCUUCUGCGAGUAUUUCAGACCACUUAUUUCCUUUUUUAGAACAUGCUUGCUCGGAUACAUACAGGAAUUCCGGGGAAAGGAAAAAUUUAUUUUUU